rnacentral:rRNA from 1 species
GAUGAACGCUGGCGGCGUGCCUAAUACAUGCAAGUCGAACGCAUUGUGGUUGAAAUGAUAUGAAGAACUUGUUCAGAUUUGAUUUUCAACAUUGCAAUGAGUGGCGAACGGGUGAGUAACACGUGGGAAACCUACCUCUUAGCAGGGGAUAACAUUUGGAAACAAAUGCUAAUACCGUAUAAUAAUUAAAACCGCAUGGUUUUAGUUUAAAAGAUGGUCUUGCUAUCACUAAGAGAUGGUCCCGCGGUGUAUUAGUUAGUUGGUGAGGUAAUGGCUCACCAAGACAGUGAUACAUAGCCGAGUUGAGAGACUGACCGGCCACAAUGGGACUGAGACACGGCCCAUACUCCUACGGGAGGCAGCAGUAGGGAAUCUUCCACAAUGGACGAAAGUCUGAUGGAGCAACGCCGCGUGUGUGAUGAAGGUUUCGGCUCGUAAACACUGUUGUAAGAGAAGAAUGACAUUGAGAGUAACUGUUCAAUGUGUGACGGUAU